rnacentral:rRNA from 1 species
UACGUAGGGGGCAAGCGUUAUCCGGAAUUACUGGGUGUAAAGGGAGCGUAGACGGUAAUGUAAGUCUGGAGUGAAAGGCGGGGGCCCAACCCCCGGACUGCUCUGGAAACUAUGUUACUAGAGUGCAGGAGAGGUAAGCGGAAUUCCUAGUGUGGCGGUGAAAUGCGUAGAUAUUAGGAGGAACACCGGUGGCGAAGGCGGCUUACUGGACUGUAACUGACGUUGAGGCUCGAAAGCGUGGGGAGCAAACAGG